rnacentral:lncRNA from 1 species
UUCUGCUCUAUAAAGCAAGGUAGAUGGUGGCAUUUUUUCAACGCCAAACUCAACUUCCACCUUAAGUUUAUAAACUGAGAUUUGGGCGUUUGUAGGUAUUUAAUGGGCGUUUUUUUUCUGUUGGCUGCAGGUUGGAGGAAGAGUACACUCCCACUCACUACCUGGCAAGGCGGCCGCAGUACGAGUUCGAGUACAAUUCGUACUCGCGCACGAACUCGCAAGACUCCACCUUUGAACGCCCCAAUACGCUAGAAACCGUGGGUUACACCAAGCUGCGUUCCAGCUUGAAAAGGAACAACUACGCAUCUUCAGGGGGCGGGCACUCGGGCGGCAACACGCCCACCAAUCCCACGCCCCCCGACAGUCUUACCAGUAACGACAGUUCGUACAUUUCAGCAAAAGAAAGCAACAACGGCUCGGUCAGCAGGGUCCGGUUUUCCCCUACCACCCUCAUAGAUCUGCCGGUGCCGGGGCAAAGUUUGGACCCCACUGUGCCCCUACAAGCGAGGCGCAGCCGUCCGAGGCCCACGCUGGCCGAAAUGGAACGGGAAUUUUUGUCAUAAUAACUAUUUUGGCUUGAAUUCCAACCAAAGCAAUUCAAUCAAGGUGGUUGCACUGUAUUUCUAACCGCCUUUUGCUUCGAUCCGACUUAAGCUAGUCUUGAGAGGAUAUUCUUAAGGCAAAGUACUUUAGAAAAUCACUUAGGUAUGUUUUUCCUUCAUUAAUACUCAUACUCAAUAUUAAAAUAAGUGUAGAGUGAAAAGCAAGUCCUUUUGAACAGAGAGCUGAUAAAAUCUAGUCAUUGAAAUAAUGAACAUAUUUUGAAAUUGAGUAUAAGAGACGACUUUUGCUUAGCUCAAUUUUUAAUUUAAGGCUUUUGAUAGGCGUUAACUGCUCAAAUGUACAUUUACAUUGUGAAUAGGAGGACUCUGAUGUUGGGUGAAACUCGUUGAAACAAUCCACAGUGCCUGACGUAUAAAUGUUAAUCAAUGAAAACCUUCAACAGCCAUAGUCAUUCCUGUGCAAUUUUUACCAUUCGAAUAGUCAUUUUUAGUAGAGUGUCAAGACUUAUUUUUUAAUGUUUUUUUGACGACCGAAUCGAAGGGGAAUCGCGUUUUUUAAGAAGACUGUUAUUCAUUCCAUUUUUCCUUGAAGUCCUUUUACUGUGUGAGCAAAAAAGAAAUAAAGACCAAUCUUCCCAGUUCAUCAACUGGAAUUAAUCGUGCAGUUCGACUUGAUUAAGUAAUCACCUAAUUUAGUUAAUCGUGGAUUUGUUCCCUGAAUGUAUAUAAUAGGUCAAAUCUAUUACACAAAAAAAAACAUAUUUAUUGACUAAGAGUAAGACUUUAUAUAUAUAGUGUAAAUAGAUUUUUUAUAAUAAAUUAUUUAAAAUCUGUUAGUGCGUCUAGCAAGUAAGGUUUCAGUCAGUCAAGGGCUAUUUCGCGGCCAUCAUAGCUAUAUUUUCAUAUAAGCAACGUAUUAGUAAUUUUAAACUAGUUUUUUGUCAUUCCCGUUGCUCUACUGUUUAUUAUGUGCAUUCCAGGACCUGUAAAAGAAUCUAAUAGUCGAUUGUGUGAGAAUAAGCAACGUAGUAAAUAAAUACCAUUUAUUUCGAAAA